rnacentral:tRNA from 1 species
GCCACGGUGGUCUAAUGGUCAGAACACUAGCCUUGUAAUCCUGGGGUCCCGGGUUCAAUUCCCGGUGGUGCUC